rnacentral:pre_miRNA from 2 species
UGACAUAACUUGGAAUUUUAAAAUGUGUGACAGAAAUCAUAGAAUUCCAGGUUACGCCAGC